UUAGUAACUCCGCCAUUGCCGGUCCCCAGCCCGGAUGAGAUAGGAGGAGGGCUAA
rnacentral:ribozyme from 2 species